CUGAGUUGCAUAGUUCCUGCAUAACUCAGCCAUGCAAUUGUUCAAACCAUUGGUGUAUUAAGGCUUAUGCGCCACUUUGGGGUAGUGGAGGUCGUGGGUUCGAAUCCCGCCGCUCCGA
rnacentral:tRNA from 1 species